GAUGAACGCUGGCGGCGUGCCUAAUACAUGCAAGUCGAGCGAACGGACGAGAAGCUUGCUUCUCUGAUGUUAGCGGCGGACGGGUGAGUAACACGUGGAUAACCUACCUAUAAGACUGGGAUAACUUCGGGAAACCGUAGCUAAUACCGGAUAAUAUUUUGAACCGCAUGGUUCAAAAGUGAAAGACGGUCUUGCUGUCACCUAUAGAUGGAUCCGCGCUGCAUUAGCUAGUUGGUAAGGUAACGGCUUACCAAGGCAACGAUGCAUAGCCGACCUGAGAGGGUGAUCGGCCACACUGGAACUGAGACACGGUCCAGACUCCUACGGGAGGCAGCAGUAGGGAAUCUUCCGCAAUGGGCGAAAGCCUGACGGAGCACCGCCGCGUGAGUGAUGAAGGUCUUCGGAUCGUAAAACUCUGUUAUUAGGGAAGAACAUAUGUGUAAGUAACUGUGCACAUCUUGACGGUACCUAAUCAGAAAGCCCCGGCUAACUACGUG
rnacentral:rRNA from 1 species